AUGAUUAGAAAAUACUCCGACAGUGGGCCGGGCACAGUGGCUCACACCUGUAAUCCCAGCACUUUGGGAAGCCAACGCAGGCGGAUCACAAGGUCAGGAGUUCGAGACCAGCCGGACCAACAUGAUGAAACCCCAUCUCUACUAAAAAUACAAAAAUUAGCCGAAUGUGUUGGCAUGCCUGUAAUCCCAGCUCCUCAGGAGGCUGAGGCAGGUGGAUCACCUGAGGUCAGGAGUUUGAGACAAGCCUGGCCAACACGGUGAAAUGCCAUUUCUAGUAAAAAUGCAAAAAUUAGCCUGGUGUGAUGGUGGGCACCUGUAAUCCCAGCUAGUCAGGAGACUGAGGCAGGAGAGUUGCUUGAACCCAGGAGACAGAGAUUGCAUUGAUCUGAGAUUACGCCAUUGCACUCCAGCCUGGGCAACACGAGCAAAACUCCACCUCAAAAAAAAAAAAAAAAAAAAAAAAAGUGAAAUGGUUACUCUUCUGAGUGUCUAUAACUUGCCAACCACAAGGACUAAAAGUCAGCCUCCAAUAUGGUGCCAUACCCUGAGGUCACCAGCCAGCCACCUAGGGCAGGAUGAUUGUUCUGGACCACUUCCAUCAUGAAAGCAAAAUUCUUUACUCUCACUAGUGUAGUCAUUUACUCUAGUUAUGGAUUUGCCUCACCUGCUAGACUUUUAACUCUGUGGCUACUUAAGAAACCACUUCAAAACUUAGUGGCUUAACAAAACAGUCAUUUUAUUAUCUUUCAUGAUUGUGUGGUUGACUGCUCCAGUGGGUAAUACUUCUGUUCCAUGUACUGUCACUUAAUACUUUUGUCAUUGGGCAUCUCAACAAGGCUGGAAUAUCUAAGAUGUAUACCACUUACAGGUGGUAGAUAUCUUGAAAGCUGGGGUCUGCUCUCAGGCUGGGCGUUUCUGUCCAAGUUGGAUCAAAUUAUUGCCUCAUCAUCUGGCCUUUCCACGCAGUCUCUCCACAAAGGUAGCCAGAUUGCUUAGAUGACAGAUCAAGACAAAAAGAAAAAGGUUACCAGGUUUUCUUGAGGUUUAGAUACAGAACUACUUCAGUUUGUUUAAAGUAAUUACACGGCCAGCAUAGUUGUAGGAAAAGGAAAAAUAAACCGUGCCUCUAAAAGGGAGUAAAAAGCAAGAAACAAAAACAAAAAAUGACAUCUUUAAUCUACCACAGGGAGAAAGGCAUUCAAGGUAGAACAAACAACAUUUAGGCAGGAAAGACGCACAUCGUGUUUAUGAGGAGAGAUGCGGGGAGUGGACAGAAAAGAAUCGUAUGAGUUGAGGCUAGCCCAGAAAAAUACAUGGUUUUGCAAGCCUCACUGAGGCAGUGGGACUUCAUUAUAAAUGAUAUGGAAAGAGGCCAUCCAGUGAUUUUAGAUAGGGAGAUUAAAUGAAUAGAUUUUUCACUUUUGACAGGUCAUGCUGGUUAGAAUAGAAAGUGGUUUGGCAGGGAGCAGAAGUGGAGGUGGAAAGAUCAUUGAGUACGCUGCUGUCACACUGUGGGAUACAGGCGGGGUUACUUGGAAUCAGGUGGGGACGUAGCAAUGGAGGAAAUCAUUCUGCUUCCAAAGAUAUUUAAGAGAGAGAAUCAACAGAGCAUUAUGUUUGAUUAAAUGUGGGUAUACCAACCUCUGGCUUAAAUCACUAGGUGGACGAUAAUGUCCAUUACCAAGACAGAAAACCUGCAGAAGUAGGUUUAGGGGGAAUAAUUAUUACUUCUAUUUUGGAUGUAUUGAGUUUUAGUUCCUCUGAGAUAUUUAGAUGAAAAUGUUGAGCAGACAGUAGGCUAUUUGGGUGUGGAACCCAAAAGAGAUCUCUGGGGGUACAGAGUUGGUAAAAUCAAGCACUGAUGAGAAUGGCAGAAAAGAUUAUGGAUGAGGAUGCCUCCCAUAGGGAGAAUGCAGAGUAAAAAGGGAAAAAAAAUGGUUUACUAUCUAUCCCCUGGGAGCCUAAUCAUUUAGAAGUUUAGUGAGAGAGGAAUUUCAUAGAUGCUUAAAGAGCAAAAGCCAUGGAGAUCAAGGAAAGCUCCAAGGGUAUGUGAUGCCAUAAAUAGGAAGGAAGAAAGUGGUAUAAGAAUAUGAGUCUUAGAAAACCCAAAGAAAGGUUUUUGGGAAAAGGAUUAGGUUGUGAGAGCAGAAGUACAGACAAUUACCAGUUGAGAAUUGGAUAAGUAACUGCUACUAGCAGCGCCAAGAACUUUAAAGGUGACAUUGUAUCUUACAUGUGCACCAACAAGUUUACCUCCAACAGUUUCAUGGAUGCCAGCAGAAGACAUGAAACUCUUAGGCAAAGCUAGACACCAUGAUUAUCCCCACAAUUGCAUCAAUUCCCCAAGCCCCAAUUCCCACAGGUCAAUGAGAUAAGGGCUGGGUGACACCACUGCCAUGGUGAAUUUUGUUAUAGGAAAAGAGUCCUGAGUUUGGAUUACCCAAAUUUCAGUGGACAGUAAGCAUGUUUGUUCUUUGCUCUGAAGUGAGAGGCUAUCUCUAUCGUCCAAGAUUAUUCGCUAAACAACCAUCUUUGGAAAGAUAGUCUGCAACAAAAAGCUCUGUUCACAAGACAUUCAGAAACACGAAAGACGGUCGAGAAUAGUCUCCCAAUAAAGGAAGUCCAAGAAAUGGAUCAUUGGCAUAGUAAAACAGGCUUACAGAUCGUUUCAUCUUGAUAGUAUGCUAAAGGUUUGUGGAUACUUGGGCUUAAUAGAAUUCAGACAUCCAGAAUAUCUAAUAGAAGUUCCCCCAAUUAGAAUGUUCACUCAAGUAAUUUAGUUUCUGUUUGUUCACAGGGAUUGUCAGCUAUAGUGAAAAUAUCAAUGACUGCUUUCUGGAAGUGAAAACAAUUCUUCAAAAUAUGUGAGGGUUUUUUUUUUUUUUUUUUUUUUUGGUGUGCUUUGCAUUCAUUUAAGUAGGAAUGCACUAUGACUCUCACUCUUUUUCUGAUUUUUUUCAGUCAAAAAUAUUUUUUAAAUAAACAAACAACACAGAGGCCUCUGUGUCUUGUGUCUUAGCCUGGGUUGUCUGGAAAGAGAGCCUGAGACAAAGGCUUCUGUGCAGAUGUGUAUCUGGGAAUGAUCCCAGGGUGCUGGUGGGAGGAAGAGAAAGAGUAAGCAGAGGAAGAAGCAAGGCUGGUCCAUGAGCCUGUUACCUCCACAUCUACCUGUGAUGGGCCCUUGAUUCCUCCAGACUUCCUUAGAAGUUGUAUGAAAUGCAUCUCAGGAUCUUCUGCCCAUGGGAUCAAAGUGGAAGUGUUUAUUUAUCUAUGGGCUUUUGUCCUCCUUUGGCCAAGUGGGGACCUUCAGGCACUAAUCUCUCAGUACUUGUGGGAUGCACCUGCAUCAUGCUGGAAAUGAAUACCUGUUGAGUUGUAUAGUGCAGUGCUAGUGGUUAAGAGCACACAUUUUGAUGGAAGACCGCCUGUAAUCAAUGAAUGGAUUUUACUGCAUCUAAAUUAAGGGUUUAUAUUUAAUAAAGGUUACCAAAUGGGUGAUCAACUGGUAGAAAAUAUUUCCAAUAUCUGCAGUGAAGAGGGGGUUAAUAUAACUUCUCAGAGCAGCAAGAAAAGGUAAGCUAACCAAUAGACACACAGGAAAAGUUAUGAUAAUACAAUUUACAGAAGGAGAAAUGUAAUGGCUUAGAAAUAUUAAAAGAGAAGCUCUACUGAAGUAAUGAUCAACAACAUUCAACCGAAAACAAUCAACUAUCACUUUAAGCCCAUUAGAUUGAUAAAAAUUUGAAAAUCAGAAUAUAAAAAUGGUGCAGACAUGGAGAAACUAGAACCACAAGCAGUGUUGAUGGGAUAAAAAGGAUGCAGCCUUCUAGAAAGACUGGUGCUUAGGUAAAUUAAAUACAUUUGUGUAUAUGAUACUCUUUAGCACUCCCUCUUCUUGAAUAGGGACCAGAGCAAAUCUCUCACGAUUUCAUAAAGAGCUGUGUAUGAACAAGACUAUUCUUAGGGUAUGUGGGACUCUCGCAAAUAUUUUUGGCAGAAUUCGGAUCUAUGUAUACAAUCCGAUCAGAAAAUACAUUUAAAACCUCAGGUGUCUACAUGAGAACAGUGGCUUAUUAAUGAUAGUUUGGAAUGAUAAGUACAGAAGAGGUUCUCAAAUAUUUCUUGUUUGUCUAAUUACUGCAUGUGAACAUUUGUCAUACUGUCUAGGUACCAUCUCUUCUAGUUCAGAUCCAAUAAUUAUCUUCAUGUUCAUUAUUGUCAAACAUGCUAUUUCAGUCUAUUUCACAUCUGCUAUGAGAAAAAGAAGAUUGAUAUUAUUUAUAAUUCCAUGACUCUUAAUCACUUAAAAGUAAUUUUAUUGAAAUCACUGUUUUUUUGAAAUAAG
rnacentral:lncRNA from 1 species